rnacentral:rRNA from 1 species
UACGUAGGGUGCGAGCGUUGUCCGGAAUUAUUGGGCGUAAAGAGCUUGUAGGCGGUCUGUCGCGUCUGCUGUGAAAAUCCGGGGCUCAACCCCGGACUUGCAGUGGGUACGGGCAGACUAGAGGUGUGGUAGGGAGACUGGAAUUCCUGGUGAUAGCGGUGAAAUGCGCAGAUAUCAGGAGGAACACCGAUGGCGAAGGCAGGUCUCUGGGC